UACGUAGGGGGCAAGCGUUGUCCGGAUUUAUUGGGCGUAAAGAGCGUGUAGGCGGCCAGGUAGGUCUGCUGUGAAAACUCGAGGCUUAACCUCGAGAUGUCGGCGGAAACCAUCUGGCUAGAGUCCGGAAGAGGAGAAUGGAAUUCCUGGUGUAGCGGUGAAAUGCGCAGAUAUCAGGAAGAACACCAAUGGCGAAAGCAGCUUUCUGGGACGGUACUGACGCUGAGACGCGAAAGCGUGGGGAGCGAACAGG
rnacentral:rRNA from 1 species